rnacentral:rRNA from 1 species
GACGAACGCUGGCGGCGUGCUUAACACAUGCAAGUCGAACGGAAAGGCCCCCUUGUGGGGUACUCGAGUGGCGAACGGGUGAGUAACACGAGAGUAACCUACCCUUGACUUUGGGAUAACUUCAGGAAACUGGGUCUAAUACCGGAUAUGAUCUCCUGCUGCAUGGUGGUGGUUGGAAAGUUUCGGCGGUUGGGGAUGGACUCGCGGCUUAUCAGCUUGUUGGUGGGGUAGUGGCUCACUAAGGCUUCGACGGGUAGCCGGCCUGAGAGGGUGACCGGCCACAUGAGGACUGAGCUACGGCCCAGAGUAGUAAGGGAGGCAGCAGUGGGGAAUAUUGCACAAUGGGGCCAAGCCUGAUGCAGCAACGCCGCGUGAGGGAUGACAGCCUUCGGGUGGAAAACCGCUUUCGCCGGUAACGAAGCGUGAGUGACGGUAAUGGGUAAAGAAGCACCGGCUAACUACGUG